UACGUAGGGUGCAAGCGUUAAUCGGAAUUACUGGGCGUAAAGCGUGCGCAGGCGGCUGUGUAAGACAGAUGUGAAAUCCCUGGGCUUAACCUAGGAACUGCAUUUGUGACUGCAUUGCUAGAGUGUGGUAGAGGCAGAUGGAAUUCCGCAUGUAGCAGUGAAAUGCGUAGAUAUGCGGAGGAACACCAAUGGCGAAGGCAAUCUCCUGGACCUGCACUGACGCUCAUGCACGAAAGCGUGGGGAGCAAACAGG
rnacentral:rRNA from 1 species